GACGAACGCUGGCGGCGUGCUUAACACAUGCAAGUUGAACGAGAAUUUUUCGAUUUAUUUCUUCGGAAUGAUCAUGAAAAAGGAAAUUAGCUAACGGUUGAGUAACACUUGAUUAACCUUCCUUUCACAAAGGUAUAGCCUCUGUAAACCGGGAUUAAUACCUUAUGAAACCAAACACUCGCAUGUGAGAUUUGUUAAAGAUUUAUCGGUUUUAGAUGGUCUCGCGUCUGAUUAGCUAGUUGGUGGGAUAAAAGCCUACCAAGGCAACGAUCAGUAGCCGGAUGGAGAGGUUGAAAGGACACACUGGAACUGAGACACGGUACAGAAUACUACGGGAGGGAGCAGAGGGGAAUUUUGCAAAAUGGAGGAAACUCUGAUGAAGCGACGACGCGUGAGUGAUGAAGGUCUUCGGAUUGUAAAACUCUGUCAAUAGUGAAGAUAAUGACAGUAACUAAGAAGAAAGCCCUGGCUAAAUACGUG
rnacentral:rRNA from 1 species